UACGUAGGGACCGAGCGUUGUCCGGAAUCAUUGGGCGUAAAGAGCGUGUAGGCGGCCACCGCAAGUCGACUGUGAAAUCUCCGGGCUUAACCCGGAAAGGUCAGCCGAUACUGCGGGGCUAGAGUGCAGAAGGGGCAACUGGAAUUCUCGGUGUAGCGGUGAAAUGCGCAGAUAUCAGGAGGAACACCAAUAGCGAAGGCAGCUCGCUGGGACGGUACUGACGCUGAGGCGCGAAAGCGUGGGGAGCGAACAGG
rnacentral:rRNA from 1 species